UACGUAGGGUGCAAGCGUUAAUCGGAAUUACUGGGCGUAAAGCGUGCGCAGGCGGUUUUGUAAGUCUGUCGUGAAAUCCCCGGGCUCCAACCUGGGAAUUGCGAUGGAGACUGCAAGGCUAGAAUCUGGCAGAGGGGGUAGAAUUCCACGUGUAGCAGUGAAAUGCGUAGAGAUGUGGAGGAACACCGAUGGCGAAGGCAGCCCCCUGGGUCAAGAUUGACGCUCAU
rnacentral:rRNA from 1 species